AGGUGGUAUGAUGAUUUUAGCAACAUGGUUGAGCAAAGCAGCUCUUGAAGAACAAACAACUGUUAUUCUUAUCAUUUUUAAGGUUCUUCGUCACCUUCUAUUACAUAAGGCUUUGCCAGUACAUAUUUCAGCCAUAUUACAAACUGUUAACAGGUUGCGAUUUUACUGGACAUCAGGUGGCACUUGUUGUGGCCUGUCUUAUUUAUUUCUAUAUUUACAUCGAUGUUGAUAAUACAUAUGGCAUCACUUAAAAUAUUAUUUUGAAGACUGCAUUGUCUAGGUAACAUUUAUGUAUGUCAUUAAACCAUAUGGAUUCUUGUACUUCGGUGGAUUUCAGGGAGAUUUGGCAAAUUACCUUCAAAAGAAAGGACGUCUACAGCCUUCUAAAGCUCUGAGAUUUUCUCUUGAUAUUGCUAGGUAAGCUCAUAACUUGAUAUUUGGCCACCAACUGAUUGUUUUUUAAUUGAAGAUGAUGUGGUUUUCACUGACUUUGUUGGUGACAGCAAGUAAUCAAAAGCUUUAUCGCUUUUCCCCUAGUUUUCUUUUCUUUUGUGGGGACCUAUGAUACCACCAAAUCCACAAGAUCUGACAGUGAUGUAUAGCUUCAUCUACAAUUGGGUCAGCAAUUUGGACAAUCUGGAUUUCUGAACAGCUAAAAGUUGUAAUUUAUCAGAUGUGUAUCAUUACAAGCUAUGUAGUAGAUACUUUGUAUUUAGAGAAUUCUAUAAGAAUAUCUGUAUCUCUUGUGUUC